rnacentral:piRNA from 2 species
AAGGAAGUCAGGGCAGGAACUCAA